AUAACAAAUACGGGCAUUAUUCUCUCCUACGCGUCCGUCUGAAUGGUCAGCGUUAGCCGUAGCCCGUUUAUACCCUACGAACAAACAGGAGAGAAAAUAUAUAAAGAAAAAACAGAGUCGCCGCGUUAGUACAAUACUCCGGUCUGCAGAACUAUACUUGAACGUAAUGUAGGCCGAUAAAAAACGUACUAUAAGAAUAUACACGGAGUGACACAUUAAACGAGAGAGAGAUUACUCUAUUUAUGCGGUAUUUACCUCUGAAGAAGGCGGCGCGAUGGUCACUGCAAGUAUUAAAAGAUCUUAAGCAGGAUUACUUGCCCACAGUAUGGUUUGUGUUUUAGAGGAUACUUCGACAUUAUUAUUACUCGAAAAAUUAAUUGAAAACCAAAGAAUGAAAUGUUUAAGUUUUAUAAUUAAUGUUAGUUACCUACUUAGUUUUUCCGAUUUUUCUUUUAUCGCAGUCCUUGUCCCGGACGCCAAAUACUCUGGGUCCUUUAUUAUGUAGGCAAUGAAAACCACGCGUUCAGAUGGAUCCUGCAGGGACUACGAGUGUUCGACGUUGACACUCCUCGGAUCUGGUCAUCGUCUGUCGUCGAAUCAGAUCGGAUCCGAAGAAUAUUAUAGAUACGUCCUAGACGUGCGCAUAUAUUGAAACGAACUUAGCAGACAACAGUAAAUUUACGACAAAUGUAUAAUAUAUUGUACCUAUAUAAUGUUUAUGGACUUUGGUCUAUGGCUUAUAGAGACUAAGAAUAUGUGUGUGUGUGCGUUCGUGUAUAUAUGUAUAUAUAUCACGUGGACGUGUACGAAACGAACAAUGUGUAAUGACAGUAUGAAAUAAUAAUUGCCGUUUGGGAAAAACUGUCACACAUAAAUGUCGUCGUAGUUAUACUGUGACGUGUGUUGUGCAGUGUAUAUAUAGGUACGCGGUGUUUUGGUCGCGCAAUUUGAAACCGUUAGGUAACCUGAUUAAAAAUUAAAUGAUAAUUGGUAACAUCAGUAUCAUCAAAAGGAAUAAUUUAUGGGUAAUGAACUUAUGAAUAAUUUUAAGAACCUAUAAUGAAAAAGCAAGUUUCUGUAUAAAUGAUGUAUAUAAUAAUUAAACACAUCGUGGGAGUCAAGUCAUGGUGGAAAAGUAAAAUAUAAUAAAGAUAGGGUGUUUACGAUGAAACAAGAACCUUACCCAAGUGGAAAAGUCAUCGAACGGCGCCAAAACUGAAACCGGCAAAACUGGACAGAAAGGAAAGGAGACCGUCAAAUGAUGCUGCGGACGUGCACAGGGCAUACACGGG